CCGAGUUUACAACUCCCAAACCCCAAUGUGAACGUUACCAAUCUGUUGCCUCGGCGGGUUAUUUCUUUCUGCCCCGGGCGCGUCGCAGCCCCGGACCAAGGCGCCCGCCGGAGGACCAAAUUGCAAACUCUUUUUGUAUAUCCCAUCGCGGAUUAUUGUUUCUGAGCUUUCUCGGCGCUCCUAGCGAGCGUUUCGAAAAUGAAUCA
rnacentral:misc_RNA from 1 species